rnacentral:rRNA from 1 species
GAUGAACGCUGGCGGCGUGCCUAAUACAUGCAAGUCGAGCGAACGGACGAGAAGCUUGCUUCUCUGAUGUUAGCGGCGGACGGGUGAGUAACACGUGGAUAACCUACCUAUAAGACUGGGAUAACUUCGGGAAACCGCAGCUAAUACCGGAUAAUAUUUUGAACCGCAUGGUUCAAAAGUGAAAGACGGUCUUGCUGUCACUUAUAGAUGGAUCCGCGCUGCAUUAUCUAGUUGGUAAGGUAACGGCUUACCAAGGCAACGAUGCAUAGCCGACCUGAGAGGGUGAUCGGCCACACUGGAACUGAGACACGGUCCAGACUCCUACGGGAGGCAGCAGUAGGGAAUCUUCCGCAAUGGGCGAAAGCCUGACGGAGCAACGCCGCGUGAGUGAUGAAGGUCUUCGGAUCGUAAAACUCUGUUAUUAGGGAAGAACAUAUGUGUAAGUAACUGUGCACAUCUUGACGGUACCUAAUCAGAAAGCCACGGCUAACUACGUG